AUUUUGUACACACCGCCCGUCACACCAUGGGAGUUUGUUGCACCAGAAGUAGGUAGUCUAACCGCAAGGAGGACGCUUACCACGGUGUGGCCGAUGACUGGGGUGAAGUCGUAACAAGGUAGCCGUAGGGGAACCUGCGGCUGGAUCACCUCCUUAACGAAAGAUUGGUGACCGGUAAGAAUCCACAACAAGUUGUUCUUCGAAGAUGUAUCUGAGGGUCUGUAGCUCAGUUGGUUAGAGCACACGCUUGAUAAGCGUGGGGUCACAAGUUCAAGUCUUGUCAGACCCACCACUACUGGCGAAGUGAUGAAUAAUCACAAGCUGCUAGAUAAAAAGAUAUGUCGUUCAUUAUGAUUAAAGCUGGGGACUUAGCUUAGUUGGUAGAGCGCCUGCUUUGCACGCAGGAGGUCAGGAGUUCGACUCUCCUAGUCUCCACCAAAUUCGAGGGUAAACAAAGCAACGCUUUGUCCGAGAAUUUAAGCAAACAGCUAUGCUGUGCGCAGGCACACAUAGAACGAAGCUUAGAGCUAAAGAUUACAGAACUUAGUAAGCAAACAGCUUCUUAACUUCUGUGAUUUAUCACAGUUUACUACGCACCGACGAGGUGGUAGUUAAUCAUUAACAGAUUAGAAAAUUGAGUCUGAAAUAAACUGUUCAAACUCGAUUAAAUAGGAAGAUAACAAGUAAUUGUUAAAUUAAUAUUUAAUCUGAGAACUAGCAAAAACACUGAAUCAAGCGUUUUGGUAUAUGAAUUUAGAUUGAAGCUGUAUGGUGAUUAAAUUCACAGACAACAAACCAGUAGCAAUUAAGUUUGCAACGAUAACACUCACUUGUAUGUGUUAACGACUGUUUGGGGUUGUAUAGUCAAGUAAUUAAGUGCAUGUGGUGGAUGCCUUGGCAGUCAGAGGCGAUGAAAGACGUGAUAGCCUGCGAAAAGCUCCGGGGAGGCGGCAAAUAUCCUUUGAUCCGGAGAUUUCUGAAUGGGGGAACCCACCCGCUAUAAGGCGGGUAUCAUAAACUGAAUACAUAGGUUUAUGAAGCGAACGAGGGGAAGUGAAACAUCUCAGUACCCUUAGGAAAAGAAAUCAAUUGAGAUUCCCUUAGUAGCGGCGAGCGAACGGGGAGCAGCCCAUUAAGUUAUGUGUGUUUUAGUGGAACGCUCUGGGAAGUGCGAACGUAGAGGGUGAUAUUCCCGUACACGAAAGGGCACACAUAAUGAUGACGAGUAGGGCGUGGCACGUGAAACCUUGUCUGAAUAUGGGGGGACCAUCCUCCAAGGCUAAAUACUCCUGACUGACCGAUAGUGAACCAGUACCGUGAGGGAAAGGAAU
rnacentral:sRNA from 1 species